UGGUUGGAGCAAGCAAGUUCUUUUAUGGAUGUCAUCUUUGGCAUGGAUUGACGACCUCCAAGUAGAAGCUUUCCUCUGAUCAGAUCACCAGGCCUACUCAAUCGUGGUCCUCGAUGAACAUGAGAUAAAAGUAACUUGGCCUGCUUACAAAGUACAAGCUUCCAAGUGCAAGCUUCCUCUUGGUAACUCUAACAUAGACUGGAGUAGCUUUUAGAGGCUACCAGCUACUCCUAGAGUCCGUAACUUUCUGCUUAAAACUUCAUAGAACACUUUUUCUCAUUUCGGACAGACUUGCUGCUUUAAAUAUUUCCCUAGUUCAUCAAUUUUGGUGCUGCAGAAUAUGAGACUGAAUCCAUCCAUAAUAGAUCGUAUCUUCUUUUCUUGUCAAUUUGCUUGAGAGUUUUGGAACUACUUUCAGAUCUAUUUGAAUGAACUUUCCACCUAAUCUAAUCGAAUGAUUGGCUUAAAGAAGAGCUUUUCGUCUAUGGCAAAUGCAUUCAUUAAUCAUUAAUCACUAUGGCAUGCCUGAAAUCAUACUCGCUCUAAGCUUAAAAGCCUCCUCUUCAAAGUAUUAGCAUAUGCUGCUUCUUACUUAUUAGAUGCUAAUAUGUUUUGAAUGGAAACCACCCAAUUAUAACUGGUUUAAGCUGAAGAUUGAUACAUCUUCUUGGUCUACUGAUCAUGCAUAUGGUAUUACUCUUCAUUAUUCUAUUGAAAGCUGUGUAAUUGUAGAUGCUGAAUGUAUUUUUGAUAGUAGUGAUGUUGGGGUUAUGACGAAAUUUUAAUUUCAUUGGAGCUUUAAAAUAUUUUUAUUUAGAUAGAUUACAAAUCAUAUCGGUUUUUCUUGUUAUGAUUUAAACAAAGUUGAAGGUUUAUUUAGCGACAAAUUUAUAUAUCUUAUUAUGAUGAUGGAUUGUGGUCUGAAAUCCAUCUAAUUAAUUUGUAUGCAUAAAUAUUUUAUCUAAUGAUUUUAUACAUCUAAAAAAAAAAUUGGUCUAAUAAUUUAAUCUAAAAUAUUCUAUCCAAUUUAUUGAGAAUAUUAACUUCGAUCUGCGAAUUCUCUCUCUACCGCUAGCUCUUAGGGUUUCGAGGUGUUUUGCUUUUUAGGCGCAGUCGGUGACGGUUUUGGUGAAUACGGUGUUGGUGACGGUUUGUGUCUUCGGACAAGAAGAGGAGACCGAUGAAGAGGUCACCGGCAUCCUCUCUCUUCUCCAAAACCCUCUACUUCAUCUAUCGCCCUCGUCCCGCCGAUGCUCUACUUUCCUCCUCCUCCUCUGACUCCGUCGCCGCUACCGGAAGCGGAGCUCUUCAGCCCAGCUUCAUGUCCGAAUACCUCGUCACGUCAUGUGGCUUCUCCCCGGAGAAGGCGACCAAGGCCUCGAAUCUCCUCGGCGGCAUCGCGUCCCGCCGGCAGCCCGACUCCGUCCUUGGCUUUCUCAAAAGCCACGGUUUCGACGACACCCAUGUGAAAGAGCUGCUGUCUGGGAACCCCCGGUGGCUUCUCCUCGACGUGGAGAAGACCCUGGCCGCCAAGUUCCGAGCUCUCCAGGAGUUAGGCUUCUCACAGUCCGACAUCACCCAACUCGUCCUGACCAAUCCCUCCGCAAUCAACUACCACAUCCGCACCGUCGUGCACAGGAUCCGGUUUUGGCAGGGACUCAUCGGAUCCAACGACCUCCUCAUAAAGCUCUGUAAUCACCACCAGUGGCUUCUCGGGUAUAGCGUCGAGAAGAGGAUCCAGCCAAACAUCGAUAUGCUACGGAGCUGUGGAUUCACGGAUCAAAAGCUUAGAACGAUCCUGGGGUACCACCCCACGUUGGUAACCCAGAGGGCGGAAACCUUGAGGACCUUGAUCAGUCGUGUCGAGGGAUUCGGAGUAGCCCGCACCUCGCCGAGGUUCCACUUGACUCUGUGGAUGCUCUCCAAUGUUAGCGUGGAGAGAUUCAAUGCGCAAAAGAAGCUAUUCGGGGCCUUCGGGUGGUCAGAGGCCGACUUCCUCGACGCAUUCAAAAAGACUCCUGGUUUCUUGACAAGUUCCUUGAAGAAUCUGAAGAUGAAAAUGGAAUUCUUGGUGAAUGAGGCUGGAUAUGCUCCGUCUUAUAUCGCCCUCCGGCCUGUGCUUUUGACAUAUAGUUUAGAGAAAAGGGUGAUCCCAAGAUAUCAGCUCAUGGCAGCCCUGAAGUCCAGGGGGCUGUGCGCUGGUCAUCCCAAAUUGUUCACAUAUAUCUCGUGUUCAGAGAAGAAGUUCUUGGAAAGGUAUGUCAUCAUCUACAAGAAGCAGUUUCCGGAGCUCAUUGAAUUGUACAGUGCGAGAAAAUAGUAGUUCUGGAUUUGCUAGCUGUAGAUUUUGGUUCCUGCAAUCCAUGGUUUCAGGUUCCAGCCUUUUACCCUCUGCUUAACUUGAUCUGCAGUUUGAGACUUAUUAGUAUUAUGAUUUAUGUCAUUUGCUUCCUUUUUUUCUGGUGCAUUAAGAGGAAUGUAGCUGCAUACAUGUAGAAAGAAAGGAAAGCAAUAUGAAGUGGAACACAAUGACUUCUUGUAGCAUGUUGAUUCGGUCAAUUGUUUCCUGAUAAUUACCUGCAUAGGAAAAAUUAGAUACUGUAGGAAUUUGUAGGAAUUGAGACUGUUGUCCCAUUCUUUUUUUUUAACCUACUUCUGGGAACACAUUUGGCAGACGUGUGUGCUUGUGUGUGUGUGUCGUGGUGACUAUGAAACUGAAACAAAUUCUUUGUUUGAUCUAUGGCUCUCCUUGAUGUGCAUUGAAGUAGAUGCUUUGCUUAUGUUGUAGCUGAUAUCAUUAUGUUAUCAUGAAGAAUUUUGAGAUGAUGGUUUCAAAGGUCACAUUACUAUUACACUAUGGAGUUAUGGUUGCAUCGUUUUUUUCUCCUUUGAUGAAAAAUUGGUGCUUUUGAUCGAUUUUGACAUGAUACGUCGAAUCUGCAUGGAUGUUGUCUAAGAUUGAUCUAAUUUUGGUCGGUUUCUCAGCUGAAUCAGCUAGAAUCCGUUGAAAAUACUUGAGUUUAUUGAUUUUUGGGUGAAUUUUACACUACUUGAUGACCUCAAACUCAAAGGGAAGAAAAAAGAGGACGGAAGGAGAAGAAGAAAGAAAAGAGGAAAGUUGAGAUGGUGAAACGAUAAAAGAAAAAAGAGAAAACUGUGAUUGUGAUUCUAAAUCAGAGGAGGGAACAUUGCUUUUGCUUUGCUUGCUAUUCACUGCAUCCAUCCACUGCAUUUGUUGUUUGCUACUACAUCCAUCGGGUAGAAUAGAUGGAGGAUUACAGGCAAAAGGAAGAGGACAGAAGUAACCCAUAACCUAAUAUGAACUGUGCCUGCUCCUUAUAUUUAUUAAGUUUUAGCCAAUGAUUUUGAGACUUUGGAAAAUUGUGAACUAGUGAUUGCAUAGUGUCCAUAAUCAUGUAUACAUUGCAGAAGCACUUCUUAUUGUUUCGUCAGCAUCAGUAUAGAAUAGGCAGCAUGUUUGGUUGGUGCAAUCCGAUCAAUAAAAGAAAAUAUUUCACAGGUUUGUGGCUUGUGUUCGUGAGCCCUCUUCCCCUUACAUGCAAGCAUGAACGAUUGUUGUUGUCCGCUGUCCAUUGCUCUGUCAUUGAUUUCAGGUAUGCUUCCUCCACCUCUUCCUUCUGCUUCAUCCUCAUCCUCCACUAUUUACUCCUUUCUUCGUUUAACUCCUUACUCUUCCUUUUUUUUUUUGUCUUUCUCGAUGGUCUCAUCUUCUUUCUUCCUCUUUCUCCUCCCUACUCUUAAUACAUGGCUUUCUCUUUUUCUUCGUCCGCCUUCCUCUUUCUUCAUCCACUUUCAUUUGAUUCUUCCUUUUCGAGGCUUCAGAACAUACCGGUACAUAAUGUGUCAGUAUAUUGGUAUCUCAAUCUAUGGAUUGGUACGUAGCGGUCUGGGCAGAGACAGAUAAGUUACUAAUCAGUAAGAGACUAUAAACGCUGGUGCACUGCAAGCUUCAGUCGUACAAGUGCUCGACAACUUGGAAGAGUUUUCAUUUGCUGCUCAGUAUCUGCUACAAAGCUCUUCUAUCGUUAGCGGUGGAAGGUAAGUUUGUGUAUGUUAACACUACCCUGUAUACCACUGAAAAGUGCAUUUUACACAGAAUUAUGUUGUAUUGACGUUUUGGGGGAAAUUUUAGUUUAAAAUUUGCUGAAUUUGGCUCUUAUAAAAUGCAUUAACAGUUAAAAAAUGACAGCAUGAGUUGAUGAUUGCAUAGAUGUGAGCAAUAAGAUGCUAAAAUGGAUCCUAAUUCUACCUAAUAACUGGAUCAAAAUGAAAGUUUCAAUUAACCGGAUUAAUUCGUUGAUUAAAAUGAUCUAAAAAUUGUAUCCAAAUGGACGAAAUCGAUGAACCUUCUUAUCCUUCCAUGAAAAGAUAAUCCUCAAGGGGCAAAUGCAAGAUCGAAUCCGAUCAUACAACACCAUACAACACAUGAACCCUAAUCCUCAUGGAACGAGAUGGGUUAAACAAUGUGGACCUGGUUAGAAUUAAAUAUUUAUCCUAAUUUUAAUAACUAUUUAUAUAUAUUAUAUUUUGCAAUACCAACUGGAUCCGUGGCGCAAUGGUAGCGCGUCUGACUCCAGAUCAGAAGGUUGCGUGUUCGAUUCACGUCGGGUUCAACUUUACAAUAUUUUCACAUUUCGUUUUUGUUCCACUUGUGAUUGGAGCACUGAACGGCCCCACAAGUGGACCCCAUCCGAUUCUUACGCUCCUUUUCAAAUUUUCGAUUUCCUUUUUCUAUACCUUGUGAUUGGAUUACGGGACGGACCCACUAGUGGACCCCAUCGAUCAUAGCUCCCUUUCCUUGUGUGAGAAAUACAUUUAUAAAACACUAAUUUUAGCCUAAUUUCAAUCUAUCGAGAUGUCAAAAUAUCAGUAAAAAAGGAAGAAAAUUAGCUGAUAAAUGAACACAUGAAUAAAUUUGUGGCACAAAAUCUAGGUUCGAACAAUUACAUACAAUACGGUUUUAAAAAAUAACAUUAAUCUAAAUAUACACAAAUAUAUAUAUAUAUAUAUAUAUAUAUAUAUAUAUACCUCAUCCAAAUCCCCUUUCUUCCUGUCCCCAUUCUCCGUCCGCGAUACAUCGUCGUCGCUUUCCUUCGACAAAUGCGAAGAGAAGACAAAGAUUUGGAAUUCAACCGCUGGCCAAUUCGAAGCCCCAUUUGGUUUGGCUCCCCCCCUUCCGCCUUCCUCCCUUUUCUUGCUCCGAAUUAAAUCUUCUUAUGUGACGUUUGUCGUCUGAAACGACGAUUCUCUUUGGUAGCAUACAUUUGAUUCGUCUACACGAGGAGGAUUGUGGUUUGACUUAAAUGAGUACUGUGGGUUAUCAACUUGUUUUCAUGAUAAAGGGGAAUGACAAAGAAAGCCUGACAAAAUUGCCAACCAUGACAUGAAUCCCAACACAUUAUUAUGUUCCGCUGAAGUUUCAUUGGACUUAGCCUGAUUAAUUCUUUCAUUAAUUUGUUUAAUGCUUAUAAGGAGCAACAUACAGUUAGAUGACGUGUAGAAUGUAUCCAAAUUGUGAAAUUGGAGCUAUAAUUUCUCCCGUUGCACUACACAUUCGAUGACCUAGAAGUGGCAGAAAAUGAAAUAUAACUUUUACAUGGCAGUUUUAAUACUUAGAUGCAAGUGUUGGGAAUCUCAUUAGUUAUUGGAAUCGACAAGAUACUUUAUAUGAUCCACACGUCCGAUAAUAAUAAUGACCAAACACAUUUAUCAACUAGUCAUAAAUGAGAGACUUUUCAGAUAUUUAAAAUUAUUUUAAAUUGUUUUGAUGAUGAAAGAAAGCAUUAAGUAUACUUUUAAAAAAAAAUAAAGGAUUGAUGUUCCUUUUCUGGCCUAUCUAUACCAUUAAGGGAUAGACAUUAAGUUCCAUAAGACAUAGAAUAGAAGACACCAAUUGUUUCUUAAUAAAUUAAUCUAAGGAAUCCACUAUGUGAAUUAAUCAAAGGCUUAUUUUUGGACAACUAUGACUCAAGGUAAGUUUAUUUCGUUGCAUGUCCAUUAUAAAUCCAUUGUUUUGCUUACAACAAGAACAUUUCAAAUCUGUAUGUAUAUGAGUUUUCUGAUCUAUUGUUCUCAAUAUUAUUUUUUAAAACUACAUAGAAAGAAAACAAAAGUGGUGAAUAAAAAUGUAAUAUUUAGAUGGUAAUUUUAACUUUUAGAUACAAGUGCACUUCGAGCCUGUAUGCCUUUGCAUUUAAUAAUUAUUCUUUUUGAAUAUUGUUCUCCGACACUACUUAGAAAGAAAACAUAAGAAGGUGCUACAAAGGUGCAUACACAGACUUCUUGUAUCUGUGCUGCAAGAAGUACUUGUGACACUUGUUCUAUGGCACAAAAUGUGCUGUUGGUUUCUCUGGUACUUGAGUGACACACUAACCUCAGCUCUAGUAGAUCAUGUGUACAAUGUGAUCUUACAUGUUGUUGUUCCUUUUUUCAUUUUUUUUGUAAACUUGUUAUGUCCAAGGUUGUAUUACUCCUUUCUGUUCAAGAACAUGCGAAAAAUGCUGAUUAUUUCAGUGCUUUGACUUUUAUUUCAUGUCUCAACAUGCUUUGUAAUUAAUCUUUGACUAUUUGUUACAUGUGCUGUUGCUUACUGAUGGGGUCAAGGAUUUCAAAUAACGUUUGUGAUUGAAACUGAGGAUUUGAAAUAAUGUUUGUGACUGAAACUGAAUAGAUAGAUUUGUAAGGCAACAGAGAUUCUCUGAUGAACUCUAUCUCAACGAAUUGUCACGGACUUAGCUAGUUUUGCCUAAAUCGUGCGGCACCCUUGCGUGUCCGUCCAUAAAGGUCAGCCUCCCCGAAACCUCCAAUGAUCCCUUAGGACCUACAAAAGAGAAAACGGGUUAAAGAAAGUGCCUCACUCGGGAUCCACAAGCAAAAUAUCAGAAAACACAUCAUAGUCAAUGCAAAUUACAAACAUACUUUACAAGCUCCGAACGGUUGCACAACAAAGGAUUUAAAAUGGUCUACUACAGACCGAAAUCUCCUACAAGUGUCCAUAUGACACAACCUUUAUUUACAAACCUAAAACGACCACCCAAACCCAACUAAAAUGGGGUUGUUAAGCCUUCGACCGUCCUUCUAUAUGCUGUGCAAGGCAUGAACAUACCAAAAGACACAGACAUACGUAAGCAUUACAUCAAACAUCCUGUUUAGAAGUUUGUCCGUGACAUUCUUCCCCACCCAUUCCUUCGACGUCCUCGUCGAAGCCUUUGCGACAUUGCAACUCCUCAUCUUUGCUGAGUCUUCAAUCUAUUGAUCUAGCUGCAAUGCACCUCUUGGCUCCCAGCUACUCUCCGCUACUGUUAUUGAGUAGUUGAAUUUUUGAUCCGCCAUGCUGCUUCAACUCGCUAAUGACUCUGACUCUAGUGUGGGGUUGGCUGAGUUGUGUUGAUUCCUGUUGGUUCCUGCGGAUCCUUCAGAUGAAGGAAAAGACUAUCCUUACUUUGCGCCAGUCUCUCAAAUGACUCAUGCUGCUUGAACUGGGUGGAUGCUUGUUGGAGCUUUGACGAGCAUCGCCUCGCAAAAUUUUGAUGUUUUUAGGUCAUUCCUCCAUAAAAUUUGUCCAUCGACUCUUCUUUCACUUAGUUAUCCCUUCUAAGUAGGUUCGCAUCACUUCGCUUUCGAUUGACAUUUCGUUGGAAAAUAAAGCGGACAAUCUACUCUCAAUAGCACUGAUCACCAUUGAUGAGGAUUUAACAACUAUUGUCUUCCAUUAUCUUCGAAUGGUCUUUGAACCUGUGCAGAACUACUCUGUUGGAUAAAUAAGAGAAUUGGGGUACUCGGUUUCGCCCAUUCUCUUAAGAGUUGAGAAGACAAAGGUUACUUGACUUCACCCGCCUCCUCGAGGGUUGUACUCCAUGUAUCGAGCUGAUUACUGGCCUUCACCUGCUCUUUGCUCAGACUUCUGAAGCACUUGAAGUGUUUGCACUCCUUGCGUUGAGUUAGUUACUGUGAUUCACCAUCUCAAUGUUAUCUUAACUUCUAGAAUGCAGGAAGUUUUCACCCCAACUUGGAGUAAGUCUCUAGUAGUUUUGGUCGCCUCUAGGAUUGUACCGUCUUCUCCAUCAACCUUGUCGCCUACUCCACAGAGUAGCAAAGGUACAGUACCGCGUACUCCACAGAAGUCCUUCACUUUCGGCUAUCUUGAUGAGAAGCUCAUUAACACCGGUCUUACGAAGUUCCCUAGCCUCUACCCUUCAGCCUUGUCUCAGUACUUGGAGUUUGCCUCUACAUUCUCCACCUCCUCGGCCCCUUUCACGACCAAGCGUUCUCCCUCCAUGAGAACAAGGGAUCGAUGACUUCACGGAAGUCCCACUUCUGCGGUACUAUGGCACUGCCAUGCCCAUGGCCCUACUAUCCGUCACCUCAUAUCUGCAUCCCUUUUCUUCAUUAUCAGUAGAUCUGCCUCUGUGGCACUUCUUCGAGGCCACCUCCAUUCUAACCGAUGCUUUGUUUUGGGUAGCUAAGUCCCUUUGGACUCGUCGUCACUUCCUUGCCCCUUUCAACCCCCUACUUCAACACCUCUGUAUACUCCAAGCAGUUCCCCUUGGUCGACGGAAAGACAGACUGCAACUCUCAUGCAUGGCCUCUGCCAUCAUGUUGUAGGGUUUGCACCAAUUCUAUUCUCCUUAGUUUCCUUGGUAGCAACGUUCGCUUACUCGACCUUGUCCUUUGACUUGCCGGGCUCCCUUAAGUGAAUAUGAGCUCUAGAGUAGUCCAACUCUCCAACCGCUCCGAUCAUACCUCUGUAUGAUCAAGUCCCCUCAUGGGACUUCCUGGUACUUGCAUUCGAACUUUUCUUUCGAUGUUACACAACCCCCAUAUGCUGAUAACCAAGGCUUUCAUCCGAUAUAAUAUUCGAUGCAUGCACGGAAGACCCGCCUCUGCGAUACCAUGACAUUCACUCCUUGAAUUCAUAGCCUUUCUUACCACCGUGUUGUUCAUCGAAGUGGAACUCCCAGUAGCUCCCGAUCAUUCCUCCGUAUGAUAUAGUCCCUUACGGGAUUAUAUUCGUGUGUAUCGCAUUGCCACGAACUGUUCCACCACGAUCCGUUGCACCAUGUCGCCUUUUGGUGACAUCUCCAUUGCAUUCUGAUCCUUGUGGGAUGAACUCGGAUUGUGAUCCCUUCAUGUGUGACCUCUGCCAAUACAUCGUAGGGCCUCUUCAACUUUCAAUUUGUGUUCGCUCCUUUGGCAAUCAGUCUUUGUCCACUCGCUCUCGGGUCACACCUAGAUGAAGCACCACUCUAGGACAAUCUGUCACCUAGUAGCUCUCGAAGUCCACCGACUUCGCUGAAAUUGGUGCACUAUUGUCUAGAUCCUGGGUCUUUGAGCACCAUCAAGUAUGGUUGCCAACGUUGAGUCGUAGCUCAAACUCAGCCAUCCUAACCUUUGUGCGCUACGCAUUCUUUUCAACUUGCUUGUCCUCGUGGUGCCUCUUGCGCGAAGGGUUGGCCAUUCCUCUAAAUGCCACUCUCAGAUGCCCGCUCCUCUGAACGACUCCUUUUCCCUACAUCUUCAUGCCCGUUCUCCCCAAAACGGUCGCGCGUGCUGGCUGCCCUCAAUGCAGCCCCGCUAGGUCCCCCACGUUUGCAUGCCAAGUAUUUCUAUGAGUGCUUGUCUCGCUCUGAUACCAUCUGUCAUGGACUUAGUUGGUUUUGCCUAAGUCGUACGGCACCCUUACGUGUCCGUCCGCAAAGGUUAGCCUCCCUGAAACCUCUCAUGGUCUCUUAGGACCUACAAAAGAUAAAACGAGUUAGAGAAAGCGCCUCACUCGGGAUCCACAAGCAAACAUCUCAGAAAACACAUCAUAGCCAAUGCAAAUUACAAACAUACUUUACAAGCUCCGAACCGUUGCACAACAAAGGAUCCAAAAUUGUCCAUUACAAAUCGAAAUCUCUCACAAGUGUCCACAUAACAUAACCUUUAUUUACAAGCCUAAAACAACCAUCUAAACCCAACUAAAAUGAGAUUGUUAAGCCUUUGACCGUCCCUCUAUAUGCUUUGCAGGGUAUGAAUAUACCAAAAGAUACGGACAUACAUAAGCAUUACAUCAAACAUCCUAUUUAGAAGUUUGUCCGUGACAGAAUGGCUGUUAUAAUAUUUUGGUCUUUGUUAUAUACAUAUUUACAUGAAUUUUUCCUGUGAAAUUUAGUUUUGUGGUAUAAAGCACUAUUAUCAGCAUGGUUUCUUUACUGUUUAUCUAUAUCUAUAAUGUUUCAUGUUGUGUUUUUCUUGGACUGCUCAUUCAGUGCUGUUAAUUCCCUGCUUUUCAGUUUUUCACAAGGAAUCAAUAUUCUUGACCUUACAUGCGAUUCAAUUAUAGGCUUUUGGAAUUGUUCCUCCAUACUGAAACAUUAGCAUUUUUGUGACAAUGGAAAAUUUGAUUUGUUAUUCUUAUUUUUUGUAUUUCUUGGAGUUUUAAAGUAUGACAUUGGUAUGGACUUCAAAGUAAAUUGAACGGUGCAAUUCUGUAGUUCUGUACUAGAUGCCCUUAGUUCUGGAAGAUGAUGGACUGAAGUAGGUGCAGUGGCAUUGAUAUCACAUCACACACAGGUUCUUAAUGCUAAAGCCCACGCUGCUAAUUUUGUGGCCUUUACAUCUCCUAUCAUUUUUCUGCACUUUCUUCCUUUAGUUGUUGUCUAUGUCAUGUUUGCUAAUAUUCAUAAUCAAUAGAAGACUAUAAUAUAGUAUUCUAAGGUUAUGCUGUUUUUUGUCGACCUUCAGGGUUCUUUUUCAACACAUUCACUGAGUUGUAGUGCGUCAAGUAGAAGGGCAAUUGUGAGGUCCUUGAUUGUUCAGUUGCUGUAUAAAACACUUGUUUGUGCCCCUGAAGCAUCAUUUUGAAUUUAGGUAAGACUUCAAAACGAAUGUGUUCGAAAGGAAUAUGACCAUUUUUACCAUAGUUGUUAUUGGCUUUAAAAAAUAACAGAGGUAGUUUUUUAAGAUAAAGGAAUACAUGCUAUGGAUUGUUAAUUUUACUAGAGUAAUUGUUACUUGUAGGCUUGUUUAAUUUAAUGUUGCCCAAUAUCACUAUAUCCCCUCUUUGCAGCUAUCUAUGAUUGGAUCUAGAAUCAGGUUCAGAGUACUUUGCUUCCUGGAUUUGCAGUGGUACAUGUCCGGAAUGCAGAAAUUUGUUGUUUGGUUUCAUUGCUAUGGUUACCAUGUUAUCCAAAAUGAAUGGUCUAAUCCACAAAACUCACCCCCGCAGUUUGAAGAAGGUUAACAUAUUCAGCCUUACCUAUACAAAUAAAGAGGUCAUUUCCAUUGACUUUACAAACCUAAGUUGAGGACAAAAAGUCAAACUCAUCAUGGAGAUAAGGCCAACCUUUGAAGUCAUUUUUAUUAUAACAUUUUUCCUCCCACUAUUCAGUAUCUUGUUGGGACGUUUCUCACUAUUCAGUAUCUUGUUAGGACAUUUCUUAAGCUUAAAAAAUUUGGAAUUUGAACAUCGUCUCUGAUUUUUAUUCUGCUGUUAGUGUUACAUUUACUUUGUUCGCUAUAAACGGUGUAGAUUGGUAAUUGUCUUUGACUCUUUGUUUGGUUAAAUAUAUUGCAGUGUUGUUGAAAAUGUUUAGCUUAUGAUAAAACUUUUGGUGACUUUAUGGUGAAAAUUUGCAAUCAACUGAAUGAAUGCAUUCCUCUUGAUGACAUCGUGAUACAGUAUUGAAUGUGGAAGUGUACUGCCAAAGUGAUAGUGACCUUUUGUUGCCCGUGUUAUGAUGACCAGUUGAUUUUGCAAGAGGCAAAUCAUAUCUUACAAAUGGGUAUGGUAUAAGAUAACAGACAUGAUAGUAUACCUUACAUGCUGAUAUUGGCUGACAUGGAGGCCUAACAUUUUCAGAACCACGUGAAUAGAUGUUGGUGGAUUACUUUUUAUAGUUUUGAUUUUUUGGAACCUUUUUAUGUGCUUAUCUAUCAUAAAAUGGAACAAAUAAGUUUUGAUAGCAAGGAAUUUCUAUUUGUUUUUGGGCCAUUGUAUGGAAUAAAUAAGUUUUGAUAGAAGGAUUUUGUGGCACACAUCUUUUUCAAAUAAAUGGUCUUAGUUAAGGAAAGUUGAGAUUGAAUUCCAAAUACCAUUCAGUCAGCUAACACCCCAUGGUGCCUUAUUUUCUUUUCGUUCAAGAAUUUCGACUUCUUUUACUCUUUUGAUCGGCUUAGUUAGUUAGUAUUUGUUGAUAAGAUCUAUCACUAUGUUUAGAUUCCUUGGUCUUACCACUUCAAUUGAGGAUCCAACCUAACUCCAUGAGGUUGACUACGAUGGGCAAAUUUCAUCAUAAAAAACAGGUUAUUAAAUAUAUGUGUACUAGCCUUUGGCAUAUUAUUUUUCAUCGUAGUCUUUUGGAGGACAAUAAAAUGAAUUUUUUGUCCAUUUUUUAUGAGUAUGUGUUUCUUCAGUAGUUUGGUAUCAUGAAAUUAAUUUUAGGUACCCAUGAAAUAGUUUGUAUUAAAGAAUAUUUUGGUUGUUCAAGGUGUUGGGCGCGGAGCGAACCUCGAUUGAAGCUCGGGUCUAUCAUCAAUUUGAUGUUGGGAGACAAGUAGGUUUGGUAGAAGAUCCUACAAAACUAAAAAAGGGGCAUGCCCGACAAAAGCCUUUCCAAAGUAUAGUUGGAGAAACGUAACAUUUGCUUCAAAGGGUUCAAAAGGGGUGUUAAGUGACUUGCUCUUAGGGUUUCGAGGGUUUUUUUGCCUUUUAGGCGUAGUCGGAGAGGAAGGGAAUACGGUGUUGGUGACGGUUUGUGUCUUCGGACAAGAAGAGGAGACCGAUGAAGAGGUCACCGGCAUUCUCUCUCUUCUCCAAAACCCUCUGCUUCAUCUAUCGCCCUCGUCCCGCCGAUGCUCUACUUUCCUCCUCCUCCUCUUACUCCGUCGCCGCUACCGGAAGCGGAGCUCUUCAGCCCAGCAUCAUGGCCGAAUACCUCGUCACGUCAUGUGGCUUCUCCCCGGAGAAUGCGACCAAGGCCUCGAAUCUUCUCGGCGGCAUCACGUCCCGCCGGCAGCCCGACUCCGUCCUUGGCUUUCUCAAAAGCCACGGUUUCGACGACACCCAUAUGAAAGACCUGCUGUCUUGGAACCCCCGGUGUCUUCUCCUCGACGUGGAGACGACCCUAGCUGCCAAGUUCCGAUCUCUCCAGGAGUUAGGCUUCUCGCAGUCCGACAUCACCCACCUCGUCCUGGCCAAUCCCUUCGCAAUCAACUAUGACGUCCGCACCGUGGUGCACAAGAUCCGGUUUUGGCAGGGACUCAUCGGAUCCAACGACGUCCUCGUAAAUCUCUUUAAGAGCCGCCGGUGGUUUCUCGGGUUUAGCAUCGAGAAGAGGAUCCAGCCAAACAUCGAGAUGCUACGGAGCUGUGGAAUCACGGAUCAAAAGCUUAGAACGAUCCUGAGGUACCGGCCCACGAUGGUAACCCAGAGGGCGGAAACCUUGAGGGCUUUGAUCAGUCGUGUCGAGGGAUUCGGAGUACCCCGCACUUCGGGGAGGUUCCACUGGACUCUGUUGAUGCUCUCCACUCUUAGCGUGGAGAGAUGCAAUGCGCAAAAGAAGCUAUUCGAGGCCUUCGGGUGGUCAGAGGCCGACUUCCUCGAUGCAAUCAGAAAGACUCCUUUUUUCUUGACAGGUUCCCUGAAGAAUCUGAAGAUGAAAAUGGAAUUCUUGGUGAAUGAGGCUGGAUAUGCUCCGUCUUAUAUCGCCCUCCGGCCUGUGCUCUUGACACUUAGUUUAGAGAAAAGGUUGAUCCCAAGAUAUCAGCUCAUGGCAGCCCUGAAGUCCAGGGGGCUGUGCGCUGGUCAUCCCAAAUCGGUCACAUAUAUGCUGUGUCCAGAGAAGAAGUUCUUGGAAAGGUAUGUCAUCAUCUACAAGAAGCAGUUUCCGGAGCUCAUUGAAUUGUACAGUGCGAGAAAAUAGUAGUUCUGGAUUAGCUAGCUGUAGGUUUUGGCUCCUGCAAUCCAUGGUUUCUGGUUCCAGCCUUUUACUCUCUGCUUAACUUGAUCUGCAGUUUGAGACUUAUUAGUAAUAUGAUUUAUGUCAUUUGCUUCCUUUUUUUCUGGUGCAUUAAGAGGAAUGUAGCUGCAUACAUGUAGAAAGAAAGGAAAGCAAUAUGAAGUGGAACACAAUGACUUCUUGUAGCAUGUUGAUUCGGUCAAUUGUUUCCUGAUAAUUUCCUGCAUAGGAAAAAUUAUAUACUCUAGGAAUUUGUAGGAAUUGAUACUGUUGUCCCAUUCUUUUUUUUAACCUACUUCUGGGAACACAUUUGGCAGACAUGUGUGCUUGUGUGUGUGUGUGUGUGUGUCGUAGACUAUGAAACUGAAACCAAUUCUUUGUUUGAUCUAUGGCUCUCCUUGAUGUGCAUUGAAGUAGAUGCUUUGCUUAUGUUGUAGCUGAUAUCAUUAUGUUAUCAUGAAAAAUUUUGUCAUAACCCGGGCCUGAUAGGCUAACUGAUCUAUCAACUUCGUUUGGUCUAAACCACUGAUUAAAAUGUUUAAGCUGAAGUUAAUAAUAGUACACUCAUCAGACUCUUAUAAGUCAAUCUUAAUCUUGCCCACUUCCGAUUAGGGACAAAUCAGGGGUGUUACAAAUUUUGAGAUGAUGGUUUCAAAGGUCACAUUACUAUUACACUAUGGAGUUAUAUGGUUGCAUCCUUUUUUUCUCCUUUUAAUGAAAAAUUGGUGCUUUGCAAUUAGCUACUAGUGAAGUUCAUGUUUAUUUUGAUACGAUACGUCGAAUCUACGUGGAUGUUGUCUAAGAUUGAUCUAAUUUUGGUCAAUUUCUCAGCUGAAUCAGCUAUAAUCGUUUGAAAAUACUUUGAGUUUAUUGAUUUUUGGGUGAAUUUUACACUACUUGAUGACCUCAAACUCAAAGGGAAGAAAAAAGAAAGACGGAUGGAGAAGAAGAAAGAAAAGAGGAAAGUUGAGAUGGUGAAAAGAUAAAAGAAAAGAGAGAAAACUGUGAUUGUGAUUCUAAAUCAGAGGAGGGAACAUUGCUUUUGCUUUGCUUGCUAUUCACUGCAUCCAUCCACUGCAUUUGUUGUUUACUACUCCAUCCAUCGGGUAGAAUAGUGGACCCCAUCGGUCUUAGCUCCCUUUCCUUCUGUGAGAAAUACUUGUUAAUGAUUUAUACAACACUAAUUUUAGCCUAAUUUCAAUCUAUCGAGAUGUCAAAAUAUCAGUAAAAAAAGAAGAAAAUUAGCUGAUAAAUGAAUACGUGAAUAAAUUUGUGGCACAAACUCUUGUCUCGUCACAGAACCAUCGUAUAGUUGUACUAAGAUAAUAACAUUAAUCUAAAAAUCCAUACACAAAUAGAUAGAUUAUAUAUAUAUAUAUAUAUAUAUAUAUAUAUAUAUAUAUAUAUAGACACACACACGCACAAACCUCAUCCAAAUCCCCUUUCUCUGUCCCCAUUCUCCGUCCGCGAUACAUCGUCGUCGCUUUCCUUCGACAAAUGCGGAGAGAAGACAAAGAUUUGGAAUUCGACCGCUGGCCAAUUCGAAGCCCCAUUUGGUUUGGCUCCCCCCUUUCCUCCUUCCUCCCUUUUCUUGCUCCGAAUUAAAUCUUCUUAUGUGACGUUUGUCGUCUGAAACGACGAUUCUCUUUGCUAUCAUGCAUUUGAUUCGUCUACACGAGGAGGAUUGUGGUUUGAAUUAAAUGAGUACUGUGGGUUAUCUACUUGUUUUCAUGAUAAAGGGGAAUGACAAAGAAAGUCUGACAAAAAUGCCAACCAUGACAUGAAUCCCAACACAUUAUUAUGUUCCGCUGAAGUUUCAUUGGACUUAGCCAGUGUAAUUCUUUCAUUAAUUUGUUUAAUGCUUAUAAGGAGCAACAUACAGUUGGAUGACGUGUCCAAUGUAUCCAAAUUGUGAAAUUGGAGCUAUAAUUUCUCCCGUUGCACUACACAUUCGAUGACCUAGAAGUGGCAGAAAAUGAAAUAUAACUUUUACAUCGCAGUUUUAAUACUUAGAUGCAAGUGUUGGGAAUCUCAUUAGUUAUUGGAAUCGACAAGACACUUUAUAUGAUCCACAUGUCCAAUAAUAAUAAUGACCAAACACAUUUAUCAACUAGUCAUAAAUGAGAGACUUUUCAGAUAUUUAAAAUUAUUUUAAAUUGUUUUGAUGAUGAAAGAAAGCAUUAAGUAUACUUUAAAAAAAAAAUAAAGGAUUGGUGUCCCUUUUCUGGCCUAUCUAUACCAUCAAGGGAUAGACAUUAAGUUCCAUAAGACAUAUAUUAGAAGACACCAGUUGUUUCUUAAUAAAUUAAUCUAAGGAAUCCAAUAUGUGAAAUAAUCAAAGGCUUACUCUUGGACAACUAUGACUCAAGGUAAGUUUAUUUCGUUUCAUGUCCAAUAUAAAUCCAUUGUUUUGCUUACAACAAGAGCAUUUCAAAUCUGUAUGUAUAUGAGUUUUCUAAUCUACUGUUCUCAAUAUUAUUUUUUAAAACUACAUAGAAAGAAAAGAAAAGUGGUGGAUAAAAAUGUAAUAUUUACAUGGUAAUUUUAACUUUUAGAUACAAGUGCACUUCGAGCCUGUUUGCCUUUGCAUUUUAUAAUUAUUCUUUUUGAAUAUUGUUCUUCAACACUACUUAGAAAGAAAACACAAGAAGGUGCUACAAAGGUGCAUACACAGACUUCUUGAAUUUUUGCUGCAAGAAGUACUCGUGACACUUGUUUUAUGGCACAAAAAGUGCUGUUCGUUUCAAUGGUACUUGAGUGACACACUAAACUCAGCUCUAGUAGAUCAUAUGUACAAUGGGAUCUAACAUGCUGUUGUUCCUUUUUUCAUGCUUUUUGUAAACUUGUUAUGUCCAAGGUUGUAUUACUCCUUUCUGUUCAAGAACAUGCGAAAAAUGCUGAUUAUUUCAGUGUUUUGACUUUUAUUUCAUGUCUCAACAUGCUUUGUAAUUAAUCUUUAAUUAUUUGUUACAUAUGCUGUUGCUUACUGAUGGGGUCAAGGAUUUCAAAUAACGUUUGUGAUUGAAACUGAGGAUUUGAAAUAAUGUUUGUGACUGAAACUGAACAGAUAGAAUUGUAAGGCAACAGAGAUUCUCUGAUGAACUCUAUCUCAACGAAUGGCUGUUAUAAUAUUUUGGUCUUUGUUAUAUACAUAUUUACAUGAAUAUUUCCUGUGAAAUUUAGUUUUGUGGUAUAAAGCACUAUUAUCAGCAUGGUUUCUUUAUUGUUUAUCUAUAUCUAUAAUGUUUCAUGUUGUGUUUUUCUUGGACUGCUCAUUCAGUUCUGUUAAUUCCCUGCUUUUCAGUUUUGUUUCUGUCCUCUCUCUAUAUGUGUUUUCCACAAGGAACCAAUAUUCUUGACCUUACAUGCUAUUCAAUUAUAGGCUUUUGGAAUUGUUCCUCCAUACUGAAACAUUAGCAUUUUUGUGACAAUGGAAAAUUUGAUUUGUUCUUCUUAUUUUUUGUAUUUCUUGGAGUUUUAAAGUAUGACGUUGUUAUGCACGUGAAAGUAAAUUGAACGGUGCAAUUCUGCAGUUCUGUACUAUAUGCCCUUAGUUCUGGAAGAUGAAGGACUGAAGUAGGUGCAAUGGCAUUGAUAGCACAUCACACACAGGUUCUUAAUGCUAAAACCCAUGCUGCUAAUUUCGUAGCCUUUACAUCCCCUUUCAUUUUUCUGCACUUUCUUCCUUUAGUUGCUGUCUAUGUCAUGUUUGCUAAUAUUCAUAAUCAAUAGAAGACUAUAAUAUAGUAUUCUAAGGUUAUGCUGUUUUUUGUCAACCUUCAGGGUUCUUUUUCAACACAUUCACUGAGUUGUAGUGCAUCAAGUAGAAGGGCAAAUGUGAGGUCCUCGAUUGUUCAGUUGCUGUAUAAAACACGUGUUUGUGCCCCUGAAGCAUCAUUUUCAUUUUAGGUAUGACUUAAACACGAAUGUGUUCGAAAGGAAUAUGACCAUUUUUGCCAUAGUUGUUAUUGGCUUUAAAAAAUAACAGAGGUAGUUUUUUAAGAUAAAGGAAUACAUGCUAUGGAUUGUUAAUUUUACUAGAGUAAUUGUUACUUGUAGGCUUGUUUAAUUUAAUGUUGCCCAAUAUCACUAUACCUCCUCUUUGCAGCUAUCUAUGAUUGGAUUUAGAAUCAGGUUCAGAGUACUUUGCUUCCUGGAUUUGCAGUGGUACAUGUCCGGAAUGCAGAAAUUUGUUGUUUGGUUUCAUUGCUAUGGUUACCAUGUUAUCCAAAAUGAAUGGUCUAAUCCACAAAACUCACCCCCGCAGUUUGAAGAAGGUUAACAUGUUCAGCCUUACCUAUACAAUUAAAGAAAGAGGUCAUUUCCAUUGACUUUACAAACCUAAGUUGAGGACAGAAAGGCAAACUCAUCAUGGAGAUAAGGCUAACCUUUGAAGACAUUUUUAUUAUAACAUUUUUCCUCCCACUAUUCAGCAUCUUGUUGGGACAUUUCUCACUAUUCAGUAUCUUGUUAGGACAUUUCUUAAGCUUAAAAAAUCUGGAAUUUGAACAUCGUCUCUGAUUUUUAUUUUGCUGUUAGUCUUACAUUUACUUUGUUUGGUAUAAACGGUGUAGAUUGGUAAUUGUCUUUGACUCUUUGUUUGGUUAAAUAUAUUGCAGUGUUGUUGAAAAUGUUUAGCUUAUGAUAAAACUUUUGGUGACUUUAUGGUGAAAAUUUGCAAUCGACUGAAUGAAUGCAUUCCUCUUGAUGACAUCGUGAUAUAGUAUUGAAUGUGGAAGAGUACUGCCAAAGUGAUAGUGACCUUUUGUUGCCUCUGUAUUAUGAUGACCAGUUGAUUUUACAAACUAGACCAUUAUAGUUUGGCUGAUUGAUUUUGCAAGAGGCAAAUCAUAUCUUACAAAUGGGUAUGGUAUAAGAUAACAGACAUGAUAGUAUACCUUACAUGCUGAUAUCGGCUGACAUGGAGGCCUAACAUUUUCAGAACCACAUGAAUAGAUGUUGGUGGAUUGCUUUUUAUAGUUUUGAUUUUUUGGAACCUUUUUAUGUUCUUGUCUCUCAUAAAAUUGAAUAAAUAAGUUUUGAUAGAAGGAUUUUGUGGCACACAUCUUUUUCAAAUAAUUGGUCUUAGUUAAGGAAAGUUGAGAUUGAAUUCCAAAUACCAUUCAGUCAGCUAACACUGCAUGGUGCCUUUUUUUCUUUUCGUUCAAGAAUUUUGACUUCUUUUACUCUUUUGAUCGGCUUAGUCAGUUAGUAUUUGUUGAUAAGAUCUAUUGCUAUGUUUAGAUUCCUUGGUCUUACCACUUCGAUUGAAGAUCCAACCUAACUCCAUGAGGUUGACUACGUUGGGCAAAUUUCAUCAUAAAAAAUAGGUUAUUAAAUAUAUGUGUACUAGUCUUUGGCGUAUUAUUUUUCAUCGUUGUCUUUUGGAGGACAAUAAAAUGAAUUUUUUAUCCAUUUUUUAUGGGUAUGUGUUUCUUUAGUAGUUUGGUAUCAUGAAAUUAAUUUUAGGUACCCAUGAAACAGUUUGUAUUAAAGCAUAUUUUGGUUGUUCAAGGUGUUGGGCGCGGAGCCAACCUCGAUUGAGUAGGUUAGGUAGAAGAUCCUACAAAACUAAAUCAGAGGCAUGCCCGACAAAAGUCUUUCCAAAGUAGAGCUGGAGAAAUGUAAUAGUUGCUUUAAAGGGUUCAAAGGGCUGUUAGGUGACUUAGCAUACCUAGGACAUUUUAUAUAAAGCUUUGGUAAUCGUCAAUAUUAAGUGGGAAGUUAAUUUGUGGAAUUAUUAAGCGUUACUCGAUCGUGGAGAGUUAACCAAACCAUCAGGACAUUUCCAUUAGCAUAGUCGUGCGAACUUGGUAUAUUAUAGUUGUCCAAUGUGUUGGGCCAUGGAGCUAACCUUGAUUCAAGCUUGGGUCUAUUGUCAGUUUAAUCUCGCUAGAUGAUUGGGUUCAAUAGGGGCAUAUGCAAAAUUUAGUCGGGGACAUACCAAACAAAAGUCUUUGAUGCUUAUGUUAGUAUAUCUAGAGAAAUGUAAUGUAGGAUUCGGAGGUUUCAAAGAGCACUACCUAGGGCUUUUUAAUAAGGGUUUUGAUUACCAUCAAAAUUAAGUGGUUUCGUUGGAUUGUUGGGUGUUACUCGGAUGUGAGGAGUCACUCAAACCGUUAAGAGAUAUAUGGCAGCUUCAUGGCUGGAUUUGACCAUAUUAGAGAUACAGGGAGUUUCGUGGCUAGAUUCGAUCGCAUUCGGGAUAGAGAAUAAUUCAUUAUCAUAUUCCAUUACAUCGUUGAUAAAGGAUACUUUAUGGUCAUAUUCGGCCACGUUGGAGAAAUGAUGCUUCAUGUCGAAGUCAAUUGCAUCGAGGGCUCGAGAUGCAUCUUGGCAACAUCAUCAAGCUUUUUUUAUCGUUUUUCUACCACAAGCCACUCCAACUACAAGCUCGACUUACCUUUGUUCUACAAUUGAAAUACGAUUUGCUUUAGUAACAACGUCAUAUUAAUUUUUGAUGAUUUGACAUUUUUGCCCUGAUACUUGAUCUUUUAUGUUUGAUUGGGGCCUUCCAUAUCGUGCACCACUCAAAUUAACGAAAAAGCUAAGGAUAAGGUAGUGAAGGCCUAACAAUGCCUGACCCCUAUAAAAGGGAGCCUUAGUUGUAUCUGAGCUUCCUACUUUACAAAGCCACCAUCUUUGAUACUAAACAAACAGGUGGCUGCAGUCUGUGGGCAAAGGCAUCCAUGGAAGCCACCUUCUUCAUUUUAGUAGGUAAAAGCAGUUAACCUUACCUGUCUUCCCCACCCGAUGAACAGCUUCCUUGAAGCUUCCUACAGUUUCUUGCACUCAGCUGAUUGGACUCAGAAAAUAAAUAUUUCAUCUUAUUUAAUGUCAGUUUUCAGAAUUAUAUACCCUCAGCAACCUUUUUUUUUUUCUAUUCAAGGACAUAAAACUGCUUUGUUGAUAAAUUUUGCUGUUAAUCUCGAGUUUUGGUAAAUUGAGAGCUAUGUCAUGAUGUCUUUAGAACUAAAUUUGGCACAACAGGAUAAAUUUCUAGCAUGCUUCUUAACCCUAAUGUUAGAAACCUAGUGGAUUCAGGUACAUGUUGCAUGAAACUCCACACACUCAUCAGGCUUGAUUGAAUUUUUAUGAGACUCACAUCGUGACAUCCAAGUUGAUGCUAAUUUAAUGAUUUAGUUUGAGGAGUCAUUACAUCCAAAUGCGAGCUUACUCAACGCACUUGAUCAGUGUCAUAGGAAACAUAUAUAUUAUCAUGAUAGAGUAUGAAAGCUUAGAUUAGGUAUAUAAAACACUAAGUGAUAGACAGAGUAGUAUCAGCAUGAAUAUGAAUGUUAGCUAGAUAUAUAAUUCAUGGUGUAGGAUUCAUGACAAAGGAGGUGAGUUGUACAUUAAAAGUUGUCUUAGUUGCCCAGUGAAGAAAAAAAAGGCUUUUUCAUUAAGUUCAUGAACCUGAAACACUGGUCCAAAGUGUUUAUUCAUUUAUUUUAUGAGCCUUGAAGUAUUUUUUUGUUCAUCAUCUCGACCCAGUCUGAUAACUUAUUAAUUUGAUGAGUAUGAAACACUAAUUCAAAGCACUUGCAUCCAUAUUAAUGAAAAUAGACUUAUUUAACAAUCUGCCCCACUUAUGUUUAACAUAUUGAACUUUACACUCAGCCAUCUUUUCUGGUUUGGGUACCUCAUCAUGCCCAUUAAUAAAUCCCCCUUGAUAUGAUUUGUCACAACUUGAUCUGAGGAGAUAUCUUAAUAACAUUAUGAAUCUGAACUAAGUGCUUAGGCCAAAGUUAAUAACGAUAAACUUAUGUAGCUCUAUAUACCAAUUUGAUUGAGCUGUUGUAUGUGAUGUAGAUCUAAACAUGCGGCAUCACAUUCUUUUAUCCUGCUAUAAAUGCUCCUCAUCUUCAUGGCUUCACCUAAACAUCACUUGAAGUCCUCACAAGAACAGCCAUGUCUUCUCUUGGAGCCAGCUAUGCUUACAUCCAUGAACUGAGGAAACGCUGCAAGGAAAUGGAGAGGAAGAAGACAGAUGGUGGUGUGGCCACAGAGGAGAAGAGCUCCAAGGGAAGAGUUCAUCCUAGUGACACCCCUUCACCAGUGUGUCGUGAAGAACGAGGUGAAGGUAAUUGUUGGAGAAGCUCGGUCACCAAAUAAAUCCCCAAAAAAGAAAGAUGAUGAAUUAUUGGGUGUUGAUGGGGGGCUUGUUUUACAUUUAGACAAUGCUAUGUCCACAUAUAUAUAUUUUGCCUUCCAAUGUUCCAAGUCUCUUUAGUAGGGAAAUGUGGGAGGAAUAAUCAUCCAAUUGUUUUCUUUUUCUCUACCUAGAUACGACAGAAAUAGAUGUUGCUUUCAUUAUUAACAUAGUCAGGUUCAUAGCCAUAUGGAAGUUUUUUUAAUGAAUAUUUUUCUUCUAUCAUAUCAAAUUGCACACAAGAUACAAGCUCAACAAUGGAUGGUAAUAUUAUGGAAUAAUCACAUUUAUGGCCAACUAAGGAUCAGAAUAUUUUAAGGAUGGUAAUAUGUAUCCUAGAGAUUAUCCAAACUCAACAAUGAAGACAACAACAAUUGAAGUUUGUAUGCGGGUUUCAAUUUUACUUAUAACUUAAAUUCAUCUUUGAUAAGAAUGAUCUCUCAGCUGAUUGUUAGGGUUGACAAGUAUUUUAAAAAUAAAUUUAUUUGGAGGAUAAAAAAUUUAAAUUUUAUGAAAAGAAAUUUUUGUGAAUCAGAGUUUAGUUGUCUUGUAAAUAUCUAAUAUAUCUCAACGUCUUAACAAGACAUCAUGAAAAAAAAAAAAAAAAAAAAAAAACCCUUGGUGGUGAUAAUUUUAUACUGAUAAUUUUGAGCUUUUAUCUAUCAGAUUAUUUUAAUGUCCCUCAGACAACUUUUUGCUCGUGUCAAUCGAUCCUGUUGCCCAAGUGCAAGAAUUCUGGCAUCUUGAUACUGAAUUUGCUCCUUUUUUUUUCUUUUGUUUUCUUCUAUUUCCGUUCUUUGGGUUGUAGACUUUGUGCUCUAAUUUUGAGUUGGAUUUCCUAUAGUCUGAAAAGCUAUUGCUCUUCUUCGUUCAUAAUCAGCCAUAUUUUUGCUCCUUUGGCUUUCAGAAUCUGGUUGGAGCAAGCAAGUUCUUUUAUGGAUGUCAUCUUUGGCAUGGAUUGACGACCUCCAAGCAGAAGCAUUCCUCUGAUCUGAUCACCAGGCCUACUCAAUCGUGGUCCUCGAUGAACAUGAGAUAAAAGUACCUUGGCCUGCUUACAAAGUACAAGCUUCCAAGUGCAAGCUUCCUCUUGUUAACUCAAACAUAGACUGGAGUAGCUUUAAGAGGAUACCAGCUACUCCUAGAGUCCUUAACUUUCUGCUUAGAACUUCA
rnacentral:lncRNA from 1 species